CGCCAGCGCCCAAGCAUCCCAGCCGAUAGCGAACAAGUAGAGUGAUCGAAAGAUGAAAAGCACUUUGAAAAGAGAGUUAAACAGCACGUGAAAUUGUUGAAAGGGAAGCGUUGGCAACCAGACUCGCCCGGGAGGGCUCAGCCGGCACGUGUGCCGGUGCACUCCCCCCCGGGCGGGCCAGCGUCGGUUUGGGCGGUCGGUCAAAGGCCCCGGGAAUGUAGCACCCUCCGGGGUGCCUU
rnacentral:rRNA from 1 species